ACGCUCGUGUCGAAUGUCUGUUAACACGGAGCGGUCCUCCCAGUGGUGCGUACCAGCUCUGUCUGAACACUUCUCUGACGUGAGCGUUGGCAGUUUGAUCUGUUGCGCAUUACCCAGAUCGUUUACUUUGAGGAAAUGAGAGUGCUUCAAGCAGAUAAACGUUAUGAAUACGUUAGCAUGGAAUAAUUACAUGGGACACGUAUUUGAUUUUGUGGGCUUUCAAAUAGGUGUAAUGACAGUUGGGAUAGUUGGGGGCACUCGUAUUUAACUGCUAGAGGUGAAAUUCUUGGAUUUUUAAAGAUGGACUACUGCGAAAGCAUUUGCCAAAGAUGUUUUUGUCGAUCAAGAACGAAAGUUAGGGGAUCGAAGACGAUCAGAUACCGUCCUAAUCUUAACCAUAAACUAUGCCACCUAGGGAUUGGAGU
rnacentral:rRNA from 1 species